GCGGCUAUGGCGGAACUGGCAGACGCGCUAGACUUAGGAUCUAGUGGGGCAACCCGUACAGGUUCGAUUCCUGCUAGCCGCACCA
rnacentral:tRNA from 1 species